UUGACAGAAGAGAGUGAGCACACAAAGUCAAAUUAUACCAAAGUGAGUUGUAUGAUUGUUUUGGGUGCUCACUGCUCUAUCUGUCAU
rnacentral:pre_miRNA from 2 species